UGAUACACCUGGUAGUUAUUAUUACAGGGAGAGAGAGAACAGGAAGCUGAUACACCUGGUAGUUAUUAUUACAGGGAGAGAGAGAACAGGUAGCUGAUACACCUGGUAGUUAUUAUUACAGGGAGAGAGAGAACAGGUAGCUGAUACACCUGGUAGUUAUUAUUUCAGGGAGAGAGAACAAGUUUAGGGGGAGUGGAAAAGAGGAAUGGAGAGAAGUAAAAAGAAAGAGAGGAAUUGUAAUCGUAGUUGUGCAAUAUGUGGCCAACCAUCUUCCUGGAGAACCUACAAUGGGCAGUAGAUAGAGAUUAGUAAGAAGCCAAUAGACAGAGAGGAGGAAGAAGCCAAUAGACAGAGAGGAGGAAGAAGACAAUAGACAGAGAGGAGGAAGAAGACAAUAGACAGAGAGGAGGAAGAAGACAAUAGACAGAGAGGAGGAAGAAGCCAAUAGACAGAGAGGAGGAAGAAGACAAUAGACAGAGAGGAGGAAGAAGACAAUAGACAGAGAGGAGGAAGAAGACAAUAGACAGAGAGGAGGAAGAAGACAAUAGACAGAGAGGAGGAAGAAGACAAUAGACAGAGAGGAGGAAGAAGACAAUAGACAGAGAGGAGGAAGAAGACAAUAGACAGACAGGAGGAAGAAGACAAUAGACAGAGAGGAGGAAGAAGACAAUAGACAGACAGGAGGAAGAAGACAAUAGACAGAGAGGAGGAAGAAGACAAUAGACAGAGAGGAGGAAGAAGACAAUAGACAGAGAGGAGGUAGAAGACAAUAGACAGACAGGAGGAAGAAGACAAUAGACAGAGAGGAGGAAGAAGACAAUAGACAGAGAGGAGAAAGAAGCCAAUAGGCAGAGAGGAGAAAUAAACCAAUAGACAGAGAGGAGGAAGAAGACAAUAGACAGAGAGGAGGAAGAAGACAAUAGACAGAGAGGAGGAAGAAGACAAUAGACAGAGAGGAGAAAGAAGCCAAUAGGCAGAGAGGAGAAAUAAACCAAUAGACAGAGAGGAGGAAGAAACCAAUAGACAGAGAGGAGGAAGAAGACAAUAGACAGAGAGGAGGAAGAAGACAAUAGACAGAGAGGAGGAAGAAGACAAUAGACAGAGAGGAGGAAGAAGACAAUAGACAGACAGGAGGAAGAAGACAAUAGACAGAGAGGAGGAAGAAGACAAUAGACAGAGAGGAGGAAGAAGACAAUAGACAGAGAGGAGGAAGAAGACAAUAGACAGACAGGAGGAAGAAGACAAUAGACAGAGAGGAGGAAGAAGACAAUAGACAGAGAGGAGGAAGAAGACAAUAGACAGAGAGGAGGAAGAAGACAAUAGACAGAGAGGAGGAAGAAGACAAUAGACAGACAGGAGGAAGAAGACAAUAGACAGAGAGGAGGAAGAAGACAAUAGACAGAGAGGAGGAAGAAGACAAUAGACAGAGAGGAGGAAGAAGCCAAUAGACAGAGAGGAGGAAGAAGACAAUAGACAGAGAGGAGGAAGAAGACAAUAGACAGAGAGGAGGAAGAAGACAAUAGACAGAGAGGAGGAAGAAGACAAUAGACAGAGAGGAGGAAGAAGACAAUAGACAGAGAGGAGGAAGAAGACAAUAGACAGAGAGGAGGAAGAAGACAAUAGACAGAGAGGAGGAAGAAGACAAUAGACAGAGAGGAGGAAGAAGACAAUAGACAGAGAGGAGGAAGAAGACAAUAGACAGACAGGAGGAAGAAGACAAUAGACAGACAGGAGGAAGAAGACAAUAGACAGAGAGGAGGAAGAAGACAAUAGACAGACAGGAGGAAGAAGACAAUAGACAGACAGGAGGAAGAAGACAAUAGACAGAGAGGAGGAAGAAGACAAUAGACAGAGAGGAGGAAGAAGACAAUAGACAGACAGGAGGAAGAAGACAAUAGACAGACAGGAGGAAGAAGACAAUAGACAGAGAGGAGGAAGAAGACAAUAGACAGAGAGGAGGAAGAAGACAAUAGACAGAGAGGAGGAAGAAGACAAUAGACAGAGAGGAGGAAGAAGACAAUAGACAGAGAGGAGGAAGAAGACAAUAGACAGAGAGGAGGUAGAAGACAAUAGACAGAGAGGAGGAAGAAGACAAUAGACAGAGAGGAGGAAGAAGACAAUAGACAGAGAGGAGGAAGAAGACAAUAGACAGAGAGGAGGAAGAAGCCAAUAGACAGAGAGGAGGAAGAAGACAAUAGACAGAGAGGAGGAAGAAGACAAUAGACAGAGAGGAGGAAGAAGACAAUAGACAGAGAGGAGACAGAAGGAG